GGAGGGUGCGAGCGUUAUCCGGAAUUACUGGGUUUAAAGGGUGCGUAGGCGGCCAUGUAAGUCAGGAGUGAAAGUUUGCGGCUCAACCGUAAAAUUGCUUUUGAUACUGCAUGGCUGGAAUCAGGAUGAGGUCAGCGGAAUGUGGCAUGUAGCGGUGAAAUGCAUAGAUAUGCCAUAGAACACCAAUUGCGAAGGCAGCUGGCUAGACCUGUAUUGACGCUGAGGCACGAAAGCGUGGGGAGCGAACAGGAUUAGAUACCCUGGUAGUCCACGCCCUAAACGAUGCUUACUCGACGUAUGAAGCUAGUCUUUGUGCGUCCAAGGGAAACCGUUAAGUAAGCCACCUGGGGAGUACGACCGCAAGGUUG
rnacentral:rRNA from 1 species